AUCAUCUGCUAUAUGAUUUCAAGAAGUGAACCUUCUAAGAAGUUUUACUAUCCAUCUUCAUCCAUUCAUCAUUCAUUACGUCUUAGAACCUUUUCACACCUUAUCUUUUAAACUUGACAUAAGUGUUGUGCAAACAUCUUCAUGUUUUCUAACUAAAAACCUGGACUCAAGUCCUUGACCUUUUUUCAAAACUUCAUUUUCAUAAUACUUAUUUGAAUUGAU
rnacentral:lncRNA from 1 species